rnacentral:snRNA from 1 species
GUGCUCGCUUAGGCAGCACAUAUGCUAAAAUUGGAAUGAUACAGAGAAGAUUAGCAUGGACCCUGCACAAGGAUGACAUGCAAAUUCGUGAAGUGUUCCAUAUUUUA